rnacentral:misc_RNA from 1 species
CAACUUUUGGUUGACAAUACCCGUUUAAAAAGCCACCAACUCAUUAUGGCUAUGUGGAGACGGUUAUUUCUUGAAACAAAAGAGUUAGAUCAGCUACAGCGUUUAACAACAAAGCUUUUGUGCAGUUAAAGACUACAGGCCAAAAGGCUUUCAAACAUGCAUAAAAUAAGUAAGCCUACCAAGUGUCAAGGAUGGACUAUAUACCGAAUAAGUAUCACAUGAAUUUCAGCAUGAAAGCAAGGAAAGACCUAGUUACAGCCAUACUAUGGAAUAUAGCACCAGCAACAUUAAAAUUACCUUUUGCCUUGUGACCUCCCAAAG